rnacentral:lncRNA from 1 species
ACAGUCCAAUAAAUUAGGGGUUCAGUUUUUUCCUCCUGCCGAACCUACUAAUUCCCUUGAAAGGGGUGACCUUAAAGAACACCCAGUCGCCUUUCUCAAACGCUAAAUCUCUCCUCCGGGUGUCCGCAUAACUCUUCUGCUUGCUCUGAGCCGUCUGAAUGUUCUUUCUAAUUUUAACUAUUUUAGAUGUGGUCUCUUCUACCAGUUCCGAGCCGAACAAUUUUCUAUCGCCCACUUCUUCCUAACAAAUCGGCGAUCUGCAUGGGCGCCCAUAUAACGCCUCAUACGGAGCCAUACCAAUGCUCGCUUGGUAGUUGUUGUUGUAGGCAAUUCUAUCAGGGGUAGAUGGUCGUCCCAAUGGCCCUCGGAGCAUAUCCUUAAGUAUACGGAUUGUCCUUUCUGAUUGUCC